GCCAGUUUAGCUCAGUUGGUAGAGCAAUGCUUUCGUAAAGCAGAGGUCCCGAGUUCGACUCUCGGAACUGGCUCCA
rnacentral:tRNA from 1 species